UACGUAGGGACCGAGCGUUGUCCGGAUUCAUUGGGCGUAAAGAGCUCGUAGGCGGCUGCUCAAGUCGAAUGUGAAAACUCGAGGCUCAACCUCGAGCCUGCAUUCGAUACUGGGCGGCUAGAGUCUGGUAGGGGAUCUGGAAUUCCUGGUGUAGCGGUGGAAUGCGCAGAUAUCGGGAGGAACACCUAUGGCGAAGGCAGCUCGCUGGGACGUUACUGACGCUGAGACGCGAAAGCGUGGGGAGCGAACAGG
rnacentral:rRNA from 1 species